AGAGUUUGAUCCUGGCUCAGAGCGAACGCUGGCGGCGUGCUUAACACAUGCAAGUCGAGUGCGCGGUAGCAAUACUGGCGCACGGCGCACGGGUGCGUAACACGUGGGCAACCUGCCCUUGAGAGGGGGAUAACCCCGCGAAAGCGGGGCUAAUACCGCAUGAUAUUCCCGGUGGCUGCGGCCGCCGGAUUCAAAGUCCG
rnacentral:rRNA from 1 species